GGCUCAGAUUGAACGCUGGCGGCAGGCCUAACACAUGCAAGUCGAGCGGUAGAGAGAAGCUUGCUUCUCUUGAGAGCGGCGGACGGGUGAGUAAUGCCUAGGAAUCUGCCUGGUAGUGGGGGAUAACGUUCGGAAACGGACGCUAAUACCGCAUACGUCCUACGGGAGAAAGCAGGGGACCUUCGGGCCUUGCGCUAUCAGAUGAGCCUAGGUCGGAUUAGCUAGUUGGUGAGGUAAUGGCUCACCAAGGCGACGAUCCGUAACUGGUCUGAGAGGAUGAUCAGUCACACUGGAACUGAGACACGGUCCAGACUCCUACGGGAGGCAGCAGUGGGGAAUAUUGGACAAUGGGCGAAAGCCUGAUCCAGCCAUGCCGCGUGUGUGAAGAAGGUCUUCGGAUUGUAAA
rnacentral:rRNA from 3 species